rnacentral:tRNA from 1 species
GGGCUUAUAUGCUAAUUGGAUAAACACCCCGGCUACGAACCGGGUAUUGCAGGUUCGAGUCCUGCUAGGCCCACUA